ACACAUGCAAGUCGAACGAGCGAGAGAGAGCUUGCUUUCUCGAGCGAGUGGCGAACGGGUGAGUAACGCGUGAGGAACCUGCCUCAAAGAGGGGGACAACAGUUGGAAACGACUGCUAAUACCGCAUAAGCCCACGACCCGGCAUCGGGUAGAGGGAAAAGGAGCAAUCCGCUUUGAGAUGGCCUCGCGUCCGAUUAGCUAGUUGGUGAGGUAACGGCCCACCAAGGCGACGAUCGGUAGCCGGACUGAGAGGUUGAACGGCCACAUUGGGACUGAGACACGGCCCAGACUCCUACGGGAGGCAGCAGUGGGGAAUAUUGCACAAUGGGGGAAACCCUGAUGCAGCGACGCCGCGUGGAGGAAGAAGGUCUUCGGAUUGUAAACUCCUGUUGUUGAGGAAGAUAAUGACGGUACUCAACAAGGAAGUGACGGCUAACUACGUGCCAGCAGCCGCGGUAAAACGUAGGUCACAAGCGUUGUCCGGAAUUACUGGGUGUAAAGGGAGCGCAGGCGGGAAGACAAGUUGGAAGUGAAAUCCAUGGGCUCAACCCAUGAACUGCUUUCAAAACUGUUUUUCUUGAGUAGUGCAGAGGUAGGCGGAAUUCCCGGUGUAGCGGUGGAAUGCGUAGAUAUCGGGAGGAACACCAGUGGCGAAGGCGGCCUACUGGGCACCAACUGACGCUGAGGCUCGAAAGUGUGGGUAGCAAACAGGAUUAGAUACCCUGGUAGUCCACACCGUAAACGAUGAUUACUAGGUGUUGGAGGAUUGACCCCUUCAGUGCCGCAGUUAACACAAUAAGUAAUCCACCUGGGGAGUACGACCGCAAGGUUGAAACUCAAAGGAAUUGACGGGGG
rnacentral:rRNA from 1 species